rnacentral:rRNA from 1 species
CUAACUGGAGGGAAGUGGGGAGGACGUCAAAUCAUCAUGCCCNUUAUGGCCUGGGUUACACACGUGUUACAAUGGGAAGUACAAGGAGUGGGGAAGUCGGGAGGUUAAGUUAAUUUUUUAAAGUUUUUUUCAGUUCGGAUAGCNGGCUGCAAUUCGCCUGCACGAAGCCGGAAUCGUUAGUAAUCGCGGAUCAGCACGCCGCGGAGAAUACGUUCCCGGGCCUGGUACACACCGCCCGUCACACCAAGAGAGUUUGUAACACCCGAAGUUGGUGAGGUAACCUUUGGAGCCAGCCGCCUAAGGUGGGAUAGAUGAUGGGGGAAGUCGAACAAG